UCAAAAGUCAAGUCGGGGCCUUCAGGGCCUUCGUCUAGCACCCAUUGUCUUUUGCAGUACCGUCUUGUUUCCUCGGUGGCGCUAGCCUGCCGGAUUGGACAAUCUCAAAACCUUUUUUGUAAGUCGCAAUCAGCGUCAUGAAAAUAAUCUAAUUAUUUA
rnacentral:misc_RNA from 1 species